UGGGUCGUAAUUAUUGAACCGUUAAUCAGAUUUAUGCUGAUGAUAUACCGUUUGAUAGCUAUUGAGAAGGAGCAAAAAAUUCAUGUUGAUAAUUUUCCCAAAAUCGAUCAGGUUUUUAAACAAAAUUAAGAAACUAAAAAUCCAUCUAACGAAUUUUCAAUGUUUUUGUGGAAGGAAUUUGCAAAGCUUUUGUCGGAAUGAUGCGUAUGAUAUACCGUUAGAAAGGUACCGAUUAGCCCGAACUUUGGCAUAUAUAACACGUUUUCAUAUUUGCUACGGUUUAAGAGCAGUUUUCAAAAAACCAACAUCAUUUUCGACAUUUUUCCCCGAACUGCUACAGUACACGCUAAGGCCCAUAUGUUGACAAAGCUAACUGCCGGGACUUAAGACACUAUUUUUUUUCUUUCUUUCAUUUUUUUCCCGGGUCAAGCUAACGGCCGACACUGAAAUAGCUAACUGUCGCGACUGCGGCAGUUAGCUACCAUCUAACUGCCGGAUUGAAGGUACUAAUUUUUUUCUUCUAUAAGUUUUUCGUCUGGGUCAUGCUAACUGCUGGGCCCAAAAUAGCUAACUUCUGGGACUGCUGCAUUUAAGAACAAGUUAACUGCCCGACCGGAAUUGCUAACUGACAUAUGUUGACAAAGCUAACUGCCGGGAUUUAAGACACUAUUUUUUUUCUUUCUUUCAUUUUUCCCCCGGGUCAAACUAACUGCCGACACUGAAAUAGCUAACUGUCGCGACUGCGGCAGUUAGCUACCAUUUAACUGUCGGACUGAAGGUACUAAUUUUUUUAUUUUAUAAUUUUUUCGUCUGGGUCAUGCUAACUGCUGGGCCCAAAAUAGCUAACUUCUGGGACUGCUACAUUUAAGAACAAGUUAACUGCCCGACUAAAGAUGCUAAUUGUUAUUCUCGCGAGGCAAAGAAUAAAGUCAAAAGAAAGAAGACAAUGAAACAAAAGAGAAGCAGAAGCAGUACCAGUGACGACCACAAAUAAAAGCAGUAGCAUGUUGUUUCUAAAAAAAGCAGAAGCAGCUAGCACAGUCGGCAGCAUGCAGUUAGCAGUGUAAACUAAAAUGAGACAGAGAACAAAAGAGAAAACAGGAGGUGACAUCCAUGAGCUAGUACUGAUGCUUCACAAAAAUUCCAUCAUAGUAUGCUCCCGUGAAACACAGGCUAGCUUUGGCCAUCCAUCCAUUCAUCCAUCUUCCAGGGAGUGGUGGUACGUACUAGAACCAACAUGAACGCACUAGCUGUUAGGCUGGAUCGAACCAAUUUAAUCGAGUCGGGCUAACUAGCUUAACCUCACUCAAUCUUGAGGGAGGUGAUCGAUCACCAUCGAACAAGGGUUCUCAUCAGCUUCAGAUAACUGCUACAAAUUGCAUAGUUAACUGAAAUAAUUUAUGUGUAUUUUUUUCAUAAAUAAGUGCAAAAGAACUGUCACAUCUCAAAAAGUUAAUUAUUAAGUUUGAGUACAGAUAACUGCAGAAACGCACUAUGUUUUGCUCUUACUACACGAGGGACGAGCUAACUGCAUCCACACCUAGUAUAUUACUGUGCAGCGAAUUUGCAGGCACCACCGGCCCUCUCCCAUCUCCCAUGUAGUCUCAUUGAAGCGGGAUCUUGGGACGGGCAGCACAGUGCGCUCGAAGUUAACUGCAGUCGGGGGCGGCAUGGAGCGGGCGCUGCCGUCGAUGGAGCAUAGUGCACACCAGGAGACGGGGUAGGAAACCAGGGCAGAGAAGAACCACUUCUCCAUGUAGCUUCGAACACAUGUAGCAUGAGCUCCUACAACCUUGUUAUUUCCCUCUCACCCUCUGCACACUUGUUUAUUCUCAACCAAGACCACCACAAGCAAGUCGCGUUCGUAGUAGAUUUAGUGGUGGCGAUAAAAGCUAAACAAGUUAACUGAACCAAUCAAAAAAUGGGAAGUUACCUGAACCGCGUUAAAAACUACAGAACUUUAAUAAAAGUAAGUUAUUGAAGUUAACUGUUCUUUUUUCCCAUCUUUGUAAUCUUCACGAAUGUAAAAAACUUAACUGAAGUUAACUGUUGUCUCUGCAUGUCUUUGCUCCUUGCCCCAGUCUCCUAAUCACCACUAUGAGCAGCGCACGCACCACCAGUUUUGAGAAGAUACAACGGCUGAAACAUCAAACACAAGCUCAUGCGUACACCCUUGACCUGAACAUCAGUUAACAAAAAAAAAGCAGAGCAGUUAACAACAAGCAACAUCACCGGUUAACAACAAAUUUGAAGUUAACAUCAUUUAAGUAGUUAACAGUAAAUUAGAAGUUAGGAGCAGUUAAAAGAAUUAGUAGUGCAGUUAGGCUGUAGCUGCAC
rnacentral:lncRNA from 1 species